GAGUGGUAAAGGACUGUUGUUUCCCGGCCGCUAUCUGGUGGAAGAAGAAUUGGGGUUUCAGGUCCCCGCGCCGGGUCGGGAAUUUCUGCUUACACUCUCAGGCCGCCGCCUGGUGGCCCCCGAGCCGCAGAUACCACGCCGGGCUUUCCCUUUACUCUCCGCUGCGUGGCCCACCCAGUUCUUCAGCUUCCCAUUCAUCGUACAAGAUUGAAUCGUGAUUUUGUUUCUUAAAUUCCACAUUUGCCUUGCUACACGGUUUCUUCAAAGAGUUUAGGAAAGAGGGAGAGCAAGAAAGAGAGAGUGAGGGGCAGAGGGAGAGAGAAUCUUAAGCAGGCUCCACGCUGGGUGGAAGCUCAGUCUCAUAGCCCUGAGAUCAUGAUCUGAGCCAAAAUCAGGAGUUGGACGCUUAACUGACUGAGCCACCUGGGCACCCCAAAAGGUGAGUUUCUUUUUUUUUUUUUUUUAAAGAUUUUAUUUAUUUAUUUGCGAGAGAGAGAAUGAGAGACAGAGCACGAGAGGGAAGAGGGCAGAGGGAGCAGCAGACCCCCCGCUGAGCAGGGAGCCCGAUGCGGGACUCGAUCCCGGGACUCCAGGAUCAUGACCUGAGCCGAAGGCAGUCGCUUAACCGACUGAGCCACCCAGGCGCCCAAAAGGUGAGUUUCUUAAGGGCACAGAUCCAACCUUGUUUUAUUUAUUUUUUUAUUUUUUUAAAGAUUUUAUUUAUUUAUUUGAGACAGAGAGAAUGAGAGAGACAGAGAGCACAUGAGGGGGGGGAGGGUCAGAGGGAGAAGCAGACUCCCUGCCGAGCAGGGAGCCGGAUGCGGGACUCGAUCCUGGGACUCCAGGAUCAUGACCUGAGCCGAAGGCAGUCGCUUAACCAACUGAGCCACCCAGGUGCCCCCCAACCUUGUUUUAAAUAUUACUCUAUUACAUAAACAUUUAUUGGGCUGAUGAUUUUAUUUUUAACCAGUGGCAAUUUCUCUCCAGGAAAUAGAGAUUUAAGAAUUAAGCCAAAAUGUUUAAGGAUAUGCAUAAAAAUAUGUGCACAUAUAUGUGCUUUGAAAUGGUGAUUCCAAAUAGGAAUUCCAAAUAGGAAACAUUUGCCGCAUCCAAAAUGUCCAAAAGUAAGAGUUUGUUAAAUUAUGGUAAAAUAUACAGUAAAGAAAACCAUUAGCAAUGAUGCUGUACUAAGGUAUCUAUUAAUAAGGAAAGGUAUUUUUGAUAUACUCAAGUGAUAAGAAUAAGAAAUGAAAUGUGUAUGAUAGUACUUUUUCAAAAUAUAUAUGCAUGUGAAAUAUAUAAAGUCUCAUGAUUUCUGUGGUUCAGAAAUCCAGACAUGCCAUAGUGGGAAUGGUUUAUCUUAACUCCUCAAUGUCUGGGGCCUCAGCUGGAAGACUCGAAAGCUAGGAGCUGGAAUCAUGGGGAAGAAUUAUUUACUCAUAUCCAGUGGGUUUUCGUGGCUGUCAGCUGGGGGUCUAGCUGGAGCUGUUAGCCAAAAAACAUACACACAUGACCUCUCCACGUUGGUCUGGUUUCCAAGGACAAGUGUUUUAAGAGAAAUAGAGCUAGGUGGAAGCUCUAUCUCUUUUUUUAACUUAGCCUUUGAAGUUAGACAGCAUUACAUCUACCACAUUUUAUUGGUCCAAGCAGUUACAAAUGUCCUCUCAGGUUCAAAGAAAGGAAAUGAAGCCCCACCCUUGAUAGAGGAAAACCAACAUUGUAUCACAUUGUAAGAAAAGCAUGUGGAAUGGGAUAUAUGUUGGUAUGGUCAUCUUUGGAAAAUAUAAUCUGUCACAUCACAUAUUACAUAUAUGUAUCUUAUAUAUACAGCUUUCAUCUUCACCUUUAUUGGUUUUAUUUUUUUUUAAGAUUUUAUUUAUUUAACAAAGAGAGGCACAGUGAGAGAGGGAACACAAGCAGGGGGAGCGGGAGGGGGAGGAGAAGCAGGCUUCCCGCUGAGCAGGGAGCCCGAUGUGGGGCACGAUCCCAGGACCCUGGGACCCUGGAUUAACGACUGAGCCACCCAGGCGCCCCCUUUUAUUGAUUUUAAUUAUGCAACUAAUAUAUUGAUAUAUUAAAGUUGUAAAAAAAUUAACAUAAAAGUAUUGAUAGCAACGUGUGAAUAUUCCCAUUAACUCACUUCGACUCUCUUUACCCUAUCUGGGGUUGUUACCGUUGUCUGAUCCUUUCUAUGCAUUUACAUGUAUAUUUGUAUUCAUAGCUAUACACAUACAUUUUUUUUUCCAUAUACACACACAUUUACACAAAUUUUUUUUUUUUUUAAGAUUUUAUUUAUUUGACAGAGAGAGACACAGCGAGAGAGGGAACACAAGCAGGGGGAGUGGGAGAGGGAGAAGCAGGACCCCGCCGAGCAGGGAGCCCGAUGUGGGACUCGAUCCCAGGACCCUGGGAUCAUGACCUGAGCUGAAGGCAGACGCUUAACGACUGAGCCACCCAGGCGCCCACAAAUGUUUUUUUUUCUGUUAGGCUAUUAUAAGAUGCUUCUUUUUUCACUUAGUAGAAAGUGCUAUUAUUAUUCUCCAUUCCAUGAAUGAGCAAACUAAGGCACAGAAAGUUCUGGUAAUUCCUCAAAAUUAAAAAGCUAGAAAGUGGCCAAGCUGAGAUUCUAACCCUGCUGGUGUGGCUCCAGAGCCUACCCUCUCUCCACAGUGCUGGACCCUUUCUCAGUAUUUCCUAAUAUGAAUGUAUUGUAAUCUGUUUGACCAUGCUCCCUUUGCAGGUCAUCUGUUUCCAAUUUUUCACAAUUACAAAUAAUGUCGCAAUAAACACCCUUGGAUG